GAUGAACGCUGGCGGCGUGCCUAAUACAUGCAAGUCGAGCGCAGCGGGGGCGGGUGCGUACCACGGAGAUACCCUCCUAUAAGAAUGUGAUAACUGCGGGAAACCGGAGCUAAACCGGCUAUUUAGAGAUGGAUGCGCGCUGCAUUAGCGAGUUGGUAAGGUAACGGCUUACCAAGGCAACGCUGCAUAGCCGACCUGAGAGUGUGAUCGGCCACACUGGAACUGAGACACGGUCCAGACUCCUACGGGAGGCAGCAGUAGUGAAUCUUCCGCAAUGGGCGAAAGCCUGACGGAGCAACGCCGCGUGAGUGAAGAAGGUCUUCGGAUCGUAAAACUCUGUUAUUAGGGAAGCGGUAUCUAAUCAGAAAGCCACGUCUAACUACGUGCCAGCAGCCGCGGUAAUAC
rnacentral:rRNA from 1 species